GACGUAGGGCGCGAGCGUUGUCCGGAUUUAUUGGGCGUAAAGAGCUCGUAGGCGGCUUGUCGCGUCGACUGUGAAAACCCGCGGCUCAACCGCGGGCCUGCAGCCGAUACGGGCAGGCUAGAGUUCGGUAGGGGAGACUGGAAUUCCAGGUGUAGCGGUGAAAUGCGUAGAUAUCUGGAGGAACACCGGUGGCGAAGGCGGCAAUCCUGGACCGGUAGUUGACGCUGACGGCGCGGAAAGCUAGGGGAGCAAACAGGG
rnacentral:rRNA from 1 species